rnacentral:pre_miRNA from 1 species
AAAUAGUGUAGUUUUGCACUUUUUUAUAUCCAACAUGUUGACCGUUUGUUUUAUUUGAAAAUUUUUAUGAUUAAUAUUUUUAUUGUUAUUAAGAUGAUAAAACAUGAAUAGUGCUUUAUCUAUGACUAUAUAUUUUUAAAAAAUUUUUAUAAAUUUUUUAAAUAAGAUGGAUAGUCAAACGUUGUACACGAAACACACAAUUGCACUUAAA